GAUUUUUCAUCUAUAGCAACAUAUGCAGUUUCUGUUGUUAAAUUCGCAACAUAUAACCAAACCCGUUGCAACAUAUAAUUAUAUCAAAUGAAUCUUUUUUAAAAGUGGCCCAAUGAUAGGCAAAUCCCAUUCUUUUUAACAUAAAGUAAAAUAGGCCCAACCCAUUCUAGAAUACGUUUUUGUUUUCAUUUUUAUUUCAAUAAUAGGGUUUUCAAAUUUUUCAUCUUUGUCGCUUCAGUUUUGGCACCUUUUUUCACUCUCUCUGUCUCCUGGGAUGUGUUGACACCCAAUUUUGACCCUCCUGAUAAUAAUUAAUUUUCGAGUCUCUUCUAUUGAAAGAUCUAAAAUAAUUGGUUUUAUAAAAUUAUAAGAAUAUUAAAGUUUACUAAUUGUUUUUAGUAAGUUUUUUCACCUUUAAUAUUUUAGUAACAUAUGUCUUAUAUAAUUGCGUACUUAAUCGACUUAUUUCGUAAACAUUCCAAAAAUCCUAUCAAAAAGAAUUUAUUUUAAAUAUUUUACAAACUAGCUUAAGUAUAUAAUAUUUUACUUUUUUUUAACAAUGACCACGUCGGUUAUUUUAUUUCGCUAAGAUUAAGAAGCUCCUUAAUUAAUUUUAUACUUUGUCUUAUUUAAAUCCUACUCAAUUUCUCCGAAUUAAAUUGUUUGGCUAACUUCUUAAUUCCCAAUCCCCUGGCCAAAUUUUAGCCGUCCAGCCCACCCCUUUCAUUUCCCAGCCCAUUCUUUCACUACCCAACAUUCAGCCCCAGCCGAUUUAUUUUUUUUUACCCAUUUUUAACCCGACCCACUUUCUUUUACUUCAACACAAAAACCCAACACUUCAACAGCCUCCCCAACAUGACAAAAUUCCCAGAAAAAAAAAAGAGCCAGCUCGUCAGGCAAAAUAGCGCGUGGAUGAUGAUGCUCAAUGAUCAACGUCUCCCACCUUAGUACGAUUUCAGCAGCUAAGGGUUCACGCAUCUCGUCCCUUUUCGGCAUUUUCAGUGAGUGCAGGCUUUUGUAUUGUACUUGCUCGUGCGGAUAUGUGACACGUCAAGCGGCACGGACGCCAAAUCAAUCUGAAGCGUCGACCCUCCUUUCCUCUUCAAGAGUAGUCUGAUGGCCUCAGAAAAAAUGGUUCGUCCAUUUUUGUGAAAGAGUAGGUGGAAGGUCGGCUCUAGUUCAUCGUCCCAGUCGCUGCAUCGGAGAAGGUAACACUUCCCCAUAUAAUAGCGUUUUCAUUUUAAAUUUGAAUGAUUGUCCUUAAAAUUAUAAAAGUUUGUUUCCCUAGAAUAAUAUUGUUUUGGAUCAAGUUUUGGUGACUUCUCUUGUCUAGUUCACUAUGUUUUUAUUUCUUUCUUUCUCUUUAACAUUGUGUGGAUCAUUUGUUGUUUACUUUUUUGGCUUUAAAUAAAAUAUGUGACUAUGAGUCUUAUUGUCUACUUUAUUUUUACAUAGGGAUCAGUUCCGUUUUCAAUAUUGGGUAAUAAUAGCACUGGGUCAUGUCUCUGUCCGCUUAAUUUUUUUUUUUGAUGUUUUCAAAGGGUAUACAUUUCUUGACUGCUUGCCUACACUUCACCUAAAAAUUUUGUCUCUUCCGUAAACGAUUAGUUGUGUUGGUUGCGUUAGAACGUUGAAUAGUUUUUUGUAGUCAUUGUUAGUCGCAUGUUGAACAUCUAAUCUAGUUCUGUUGACAAAGCUAUAUCGUCCUACCAUUAUUUUGUUUGUCGGUUUGGUUUGUGUUUAUGAAUAAACAUUUCCUUUUACGUCGAACAACCCGUGGUCCCCUUUUUAGUUAAAUGAGAAAUUUGGGUUUUCACUUUUCUUUCCUUUAGAACGAGUAGGCUGCAAAAAACAAGCUUUAUCUAUAUGUAUUGCCUAAAUUGGAUUCUUGAGGAUUAUGGGUUGCACCUAGGCGAUAUUUUACUAAAUAAUAUAAGUUCAUGCAAUGAAGAAUGUUGUUUUGACUUAUUUACUCUUUUUUCAUUCUCAUUUACCAGAAGUUUCACUCUCUUGGUGCUUGCUAUAGAGUUUUGUUAGGAAUAAGAGUGGACUAGUCGAAGCAUGUGAUCACUUUUGUCGUAAUUCAUUUAUUCCAAUUUAUCACAGGUUGAAACAUUAAUUUUGUUUAUUGUUGGUGUUAUAUUGUUAAAAUCAUUACAACUUUAGCUGUUUAAGAUCUUUGAAUUUUCAUGUAGUUUGAUUUGAGAUCUCUUACAAUAUACUUUGUCCUCUACAGUGCUUAUAUACUUUGUCUUUUAUAGUGCUUAAAUUAAAUAUGGUAUUAUGCAGAUUUUUUUUUCUCUUUUGUGUGUAUUGGACCAUAACUCUUUCUUACUAAUUUGCUUUUAUGUUCGCAUAUAAAAUUGGCCGAGUUCGCGAGGAACUCAUUUCUUACCUUGUAUUCCAAGGAGCCGUAAAGGCUCGACUCCUUUAGUUCAAGUCAAGCAGUCCAUAAAACCAAGGAACAAUCCCAAGUUGCAAGAAUUCAAAUGGACCAAGGAGCUGAAGAGGAAGAAAGUGGGACAUAAGUGCCCAAGUUUAUUCCCUUACAAUAUGUGUAUUAUUGUUUUGGGGCCUAAGACUUUUGUCUUUAUUUUUUGUAUUUAUUUUGUAUUAAUUAUCUGUGUAGUCUAGGAAAGGUACUCAAGAUGACAAAUGGGUCAAAACCCCAAAACAGGUGGGUCCAAAAUUGCGGUCAAGGCGAACAGAACCCGGAUUUUGAUCCAAAUCUCUCUCCCUAUAUCUCUCUUACUUUAUCGUCUAUGUGUUUGCGUUUAUUUGUAGUUAGGUAAAGGUUAGAAAAACUCUAAAUCCCUGUCGAAUGUCAUACUGUUUAUUGACUUAAAA